rnacentral:antisense_RNA from 1 species
CUCCCUCCCUGCCUUCCCUUCCUUCCUGCCUUCCUUCUUCCUUCCUCCCUUUUUUCUUUUCUCCCUUCCUUCCUUCUUAAUAUGUUUUUGGCCUUUUCUUUAUAUAUGUGGCCUAGCAAUAUCCUGUGUUUGGAAAAGUAUAAACCUAAGGCAUCACCUUUACAGAAAAUAUCUUCCACGGAAACAUCUAAAGGCAAAAAUCCUUCAAAUUCAAAUUUAUCCAAUCAUUUCUUCUGCUUACUACCAUCCUAAAUCAUUUUUCUUUAGUAAGAUCUAUUAGUGGGAAGCUAUUAAGCUAUUAAUGUAUCAUAUUAAUUGUAUUCAGAUAUUAAGUGAGGAGGUAAAGUUGCAUUCACAGGCCUUGAACUUUUCCACAUCUCGAUUUUUACCCAUCAUCUCUGAAUAGUUCCCUAAGGCAGCCUUCAAAUGGUGAUGUUUCUUAUAAUCCAGAGUUCAGAAGUGGCUUCUCUUCAAUCUUUCUGUGGAAUUCUAAACCAUGUGAUAAAGGAGCUGGUGCUGUCCUGGGUGGCAUGAGAACCAUGGGCUGAGGAUUGGACAAGCUUGCUCUACAAUAUUCAAAGGCCACAGAUCAGCCCUGGGGUUCAGAGGGAUCCUGACGGCUACUCCUCAAGAUCCUCUCUGUUGUGAUUCAUCCCCCCCGGGCCCUACAGUUUCUCCUU